rnacentral:rRNA from 1 species
GACGAACGCUGGCGGCGUGCUUAACACAUGCAAGUCGAACGGACGAGUGAGAUAAGUUUACUUAACUCACAAGUUAGUGGCGGACGGGUGAGUAACACGUGGAUAAUCUACCUGCAACACCGGGAUAACGCUGUGAAAACGGUGCUAAUACCGGAUACGUUCCCUUGUGCGCAUGUAUGAGGGAAGAAAGCUCAGGCGGUUGCAGAUGAGUCCGCGGCUGAUUAGCUAGUUGGUGAGGUAAAGGCUCACCAAGGCGAUGAUCAGUAGCCGGCCUGAGAGGGUGAACGGCCACACUGGGACUGAGACACGGCCCAGACUCCUACGGGAGGCAGCAGUGGGGAAUCUUCCGCAAUGGGCGCAAGCCUGACGGAGCAACGCCGCGUGGGUGAAGAAGGCCUUCGGGUUGUAAGCCUGUCUUAUGGGAGAAGUCAGUGACGGUACCAUAGGAGGAAGCCACGGCUAACUACGUGCCAGCAGCCGCGGUAAAGUACUA